rnacentral:rRNA from 1 species
CAGCAGCCGCGGGAAUACGUAGGUGGCAAGCGUUGUCCGGAAUUAUUGGGCGUAAAGGGCUCGCAGGCGGUUUCUUAAGUCUGAUGCGAAAGCCCCCGGCUCAACCGGGGAGGGUCAUUGGAAACUGGGAAACUUGAGUGCAGAAGAGGAGAGUGGAAUUCCACGUGUAGCGGUGAAAUGCGUAGAGAUGUGGAGGAACACCAGUGGCAAAGGCGACUCUCUGGUCUGUAACUGACGCUGAGGAGCGAAAGCGUGGGGAGCGAACAGGAUUAGAUACCCGCGUAGUCCCUGUCUCUUAUAU